rnacentral:rRNA from 1 species
CCUACGGGAGGCAGCAGUAGGGAAUCUUCGGCAAUGGGGGCAACCCUGACCGAGCAACGCCGCGUGAGUGAAGAAGGUUUUCGGAUCGUAAAUCUCUGUUGUAAGAGAAGAACGUGUGUGAGAGUGGAAAGUUCACACAGUGACGGUAACUUACCAGAAAGGGACGGCUAACUACGUGCCAGCAGCCGCGGUAAUAAUCCGUAGGUCCC